rnacentral:rRNA from 1 species
UGGGGGAUAUUGCGCAAUGGGGGCAACCCUGACGCAGCAACGCCGCGUGAAGGAUGAAGGUUUUCGGAUUGUAAACUUCUUUUAUUAAGGACGAAAAUUGACGGUACUUAAUGAAUAAGCUCCGGCUAACUACGUGCCAGCAGCCGCGGUAAUACGUAGGGAGCAAGCGUUGUCCGGAUUUACUGGGUGUAAAGGGUGCGUAGGCGGCUUUGCAAGUCAGAUGUGAAAUCUAUGGGCUCAACCCAUAAACUGCAUUUGAAACUGUAGAGCUUGAGUGAAGUAGAGGCAGGCGGAAUUCCCCGUGUAGCGGUGAAAUGCGUAGAGAUGGGGAGGAACACCAGUGGCGAAGGCGGCCUGCUGGGCUUUAACUGACGCUGAGGCACGAAAGCGUGGGUAGCAAACAGGAUUAGAUACCCUGGUAGUCCACGCUGUAAACGAUGAUUACUAGGUGUGGGGGGUCUGACCCCUUCCGUGCCGGAGUUAACACAAUAAGUAAUCCACCUGGGGAGUACGGCCGCAAGGUUGAAACUCAAAGGAAUUGACGGGGGCCCGCACAAGCAGUGGAGUAUGUGGUUUAAUUCGAAGCAACGCGAAGAACCUUACCAGGUCUUGACAUCCAACUAACGAAGUAGAGAUACAUUAGGUGCCUUUCGGGGAAAGUUGAGACAGGUGGUGCAUGGUUGUCGUCAGCUCGUGUCGUGAGAUGUUGGGUUAAGUCCCGCAACGAGCGCAACCCUUGCUAUUAGUUGCUACGCAAGAGCACUCUAAUAGGACUGCCGUUGACAAAACGGAGGAAGGUGGGGACGACGUCAAAUCAUCAUGCCCCUUAUGACCUGGGCUACACACGUACUACAAUGGAUGUUAACAGAGGGAAGCAAGACAGUGAUGUGGAGCAAACCCCUAAAAACAUUCUCAGUUCAGAUUGCAGGCUGCAACCCGCCUGCAUGAAGAUGGAAUUGCUAGUAAUCGCGGAUCAGAAUGCCGCGGUGAAUACGUUCCC